rnacentral:rRNA from 1 species
UACGUAGGUGGCAAGCGUUGUCCGGAUUUACUGGGCGUAAAGAGCGCGCAGGCGGUCGUCCAAGUCGCGUGUGAAAGCCCCCGGCUCAACUGGGGAGGGUCACGCGAUACUGGUCGACUCGAAGGCAGGAGAGGGUAGUGGAAUUCCCGGUGUAGUGGUGAAAUGCGUAGAUAUCUGGAGGAACACCGGUGGCGAAGGCGACAUCCUGGACCGGUAUUGACGCUGAGGCGCGAAAGCCAGGGGAGCAAACGGG